CUUUUAAUGUCUGAGUAAAUUUGAUUCGCACUUACUGGAUUGUGUCAGGAUUUAUUCUGCAAUAUUGAGAGAUGGAUAGUGUUUGAACUGAAAACUCGUAUCCAAGGCUUGUAAAAUAUCAAGUGGUUUUAGAUUUUAAAUAUUUUAUUAGCGUGUUUUAUAUGGAAUAAUUGUCUACAAAAUGAACAGUGAAACGUUUUUUAGAUUUUAAAGAUACCAAGGACAGUGUUUUGAACAGUAAAUGCUAUUGCGAGGGCAGGAGUAUUUUAAUUAUAGUCUAUAACACUAUGUUAUAUGGAGAUAUAAUAGUGAUCCGGCUAUGAAACGAUUGGACUGUGUAAGAUAUAUAGUUAACUACGUUUCCAUGGUGAUGGAUUAGUCCGCAUGCUGUAUAUAUGUUACUGUUAUAUAAAUUGUUAUAAUAACUACCUACGUAUACUGAUUUUAUGAGUGCCCCGUGUGUAAGGGUUAGGGUGCAAAUAAGGGUGCAAAUUGGAAUUACGCUAUAGAAGCGAAGCUCCUGCUAGAGGAGGAAGAUAAAGACUAGUUCAGAGUUCAGUUCAGAGACUAUGAAAUAAUAUUACGAUUGGAAGGUGUCCGGAUUCAGUUUUGUACAAGGUUCAUUUUCCUUUUUAAUUUGUCUUUUCUCUAGACGAAUUAUUCACAAUGACAUGUAGGAUACUAUGAACGGAUUUAGCACAUCGUUACAAAUCAAAGUUCUGAUGUUCUGUUUACUCAGAUAAGCCAAACUGAUUAUUUCAGGGCUAUGAACAAUUUAGAAACAAAAUGAG
rnacentral:lncRNA from 1 species